UAUUAAACUAUGUAUAUAUUUCACACACAUAUCUUAAAAAUAGCUCCAGAUGACAGAAGAAUAUUGCAUACACAGGUCCACCAUGGGCCCCUCCAAGUCCCACGCACCCUUCCCUGAUCACUGUGUCCCAGAAAUGAUUUCCUGUGUCAGUGACACAGAGGACCUGUCCAAGCAAGCCUCCAGGUCCUGAGUGUUCUGAUGCCUGAAGGGUAGUCAUAGGUCCCGAGGUGGGGUCGGGGGUGGAGUGCUAGGGUCCCAUAGGAUGUCCUCAUAUGGGCUUAGAACUGGGCCUGAGGGCCAUCCUUGAGUCCCAGUCUGCUCCAGCAGGGCUUUGAGUAAGCCCACAGUGAGAGGGGGCUCUGCUCCAGGCUUAGGAAAUGGGGUAGGGGGCCCCACCUCAUCUGGGAGGUAUGUCCUCAGUAGAAGCAGGAGCUCAGCUGGAGCCAGUUCUGGUGGGCACAGGCGGCAAAGGAGGGGGAGGUGAGCAUCAAGCCGGCGGUGCUGGGCAAACUCGGCCAGCAGCAGUUUGAAGAUUUCACUUCGAAGCAAGGGACUGGAGGGGCCGAGGGCCAGGCCUGCAUCCAGAGCCCGAUCCCAUUGCUCCUUUUGCACCAGCUGCCCGACAGCUUGGAGCACAGCUUUGGGCCGCCCACUGCUCAAGAGCAGCUCUAGCUCCAGAGCCUCAGGCCUGGUCCCCUCCUCACCUAGCACUGCCAGGGCUCGGCGAUACAGGGGCAGUCCCGGGCCCCCUGCCCCCCAGCCCGGCCCACCCUGCUGCUGAGCCAGCUCCACAAAAGGUGGCAGCCAUCGAGGCUCCAGCCGGCACAGACAUUGGCAGAGGAGUUCAAAGGGGGGCAGUAUCCCAUUGGGGGGUUCCUUUACAGCGGUUAUUCCCCCUAACACUUUCUUCCACACAUCAGGGGGUGCUUGGGACCUCAGCUUGCCAUUCCCAUCUGUCUGGAGCUGCAGGGCCCUGAGGGUGGCACCCCAGGCUGCUGUAGGAAGGGCCUGGAAAACAGUGUUGAGCUGGGCCAGCUGGUCUCCUAUCAACUCGGUCCUCAGCAGGCGUGCCACUUCCUGCUCCGCCAGCUCAGUCCAACCAGCCUCCUCAUCAUCGCCAGCCACCAGCUGGGCCUUCAGCUGCUCUAAGCCUCGGUAAUCCCGAAGUUCAGUCCUCAACAUGGUCAGCAGUGUAGAUGGGGGCAGGUGGCCCUGGAGGAUGGAGGCCAGGGCCUGAGGUGCCCGGAAUGUGCUGCUGUGUCUCAGUUCUUCUGGAGUGAGCUGGGCACCCCGCAGGCUCCGCCGCUGGUAGUACCCGCAAGCCUCCUCAAACACCAGAUCCUUGGCUGAAGGCAGCUCAACACCCUGUGGGGCUUCCCAGCCCACACAAAACAGACCCAAGGCUGAAAGCAGACGAAGACUCCCUCGGGUCUCCAGCUCUUCCUCAUCCUCCAUGCCGGGGGCUGGCGGUUCCAGCAGAUGUACCCUGUCUGUACUUAGGACCUUCCUCUCCAGCAGCUGCCCACUGCCCAUGUCCAGCAGUUCCAAUGUGGAGCCCAGCACACAGGCCAGAGUGCCCUGAAAUGUGCCUAGGGCUGCAGACCCCCGCGAGCCUACAGGUGCCUCCUGCAGGAUGCCCACUGCCCGGGUACCACCGUGGGACUGCACUAGGCUCACAGUGCCCCCAAAGUCAAGCAACAGCAGGCCGUGGGGAGUUGGGGCCCAGGUGUGUACAGCCAGUGGCUCUCUGAGGGACAGCAACCCAGGAAGGCCUCGGAGCAGGGUCCGGAAGUCCCACGUGUCCCCUCGUCCAGGAUUCAGACUCUUACUGUAGGAGAGGCCAAGCCGUGGGGCAGCCACCAUCACUUUGCCCUUGCCUGGGCUCCAGAUGAGUAGAACGUGGGCCACGCCAGGCCAGGUGGUGGCAGUGGGCACCAGGAAGAGGUGUCUGCAGGAGGCCAGCAGCCCGAAAGCGGGGCAGUGGUGCAGCAGGACGUGCGUGCGGCCCAGGCUGGUGCUAGCUUCCCCGCUGGGCUCCAGGGUCCGGACGCACACACAGUGGCUGAAAGCAGUUGCUGGCGGCCCUAACGGGCCCUCGGACCCGGCUUGGCGCUCCUCGCACCACACCAGGCGGCCUCGGAGCGCCGCCACUGCCACCACGCGGGCUCCCCGCCCGGACACAGCUCGGUGCUCUGCAGCAGUCGCCAGCCAGGCCCCACGCCCGCGCCCCACACCUCGGUCAGGCCACUCUCCCACACCAGCACCAGCGCCGGCCGCGCUGGCCACGGCAGGAAGAAGGCGUCCAGCGGGGAGGGCUGGCCUGCCGGCCAGGCCCGCUCCAGCUCCGCGCCGGGCCCUCGCGCCGCGACCAGCAGCUGCGGGGCUACCGUCCCCAGGGGUCGCAGGAGCAGCAGGUGGCGGCCGUCCGGGCUGCCGCGGACUCGUACCGCUGGGUCCCCGGCCAGCAGCUCCCGGAGCCGCGCCGCGCCGCCGAAGGCACUCAGGUCCGAGAGCAGCCGCAGAGUCCCCGAGCGCUUCAUAGCGCCGCCGCGCGUGAGCGCGCCCAGGCUUUGCCCAGGUCCAGCCGCCCGGCAGGACGAGGCCCGAUUCUCGGGGGAGCCAAGCAGGGCCAAGACUUCCGUCUCCCGUGGAUGAGGUGAGCAGAGGCCGGGCUAAGCGUCGAC
rnacentral:lncRNA from 1 species